GAUGAACGCUAGCUACAGGCUUAACACAUGCAAGUCGAGGGGCAGCAUGAACUUAGCUUGCUAAGUUUGAUGGCGACCGGCGCACGGGUGAGUAACACGUAUCCAACCUUCCGUUUACUCAGGGAUAGCCUUUCGAAAGAAAGAUUAAUACCUGAUAGUAUGGUGAGAUUGCAUGAUAGCACCAUUAAAGAUUUAUUGGUAAACGAUGGGGAUGCGUUCCAUUAGGUAGUAGGCGGGGUAACGGCCCACCUAGCCGACGAUGGAUAGGGGUUCUGAGAGGAAGGUCCCCCACAUUGGAACUGAGACACGGUCCAAACUCCUACGGGAGGCAGCAGUGAGGAAUAUUGCACAAUGGGCGCAAGCCUGAUGCAGCGACGCCGCGUGAAGGAUGAAGUAUUUCGGUAUGUAAACUUCUAUCAGCAGGGAAGAAAUGACGGUACCUGACUAAGAAGCCCCGGCUAACUACGUAG
rnacentral:rRNA from 1 species